rnacentral:lncRNA from 1 species
CCUGCGUUUCCCGGAAUCAUUGCCAGCAUGGCCUCCAUUUUAGAUUUCACUCGGUAUUAGACCCGAUUUACCUAACUACACUGACUACCUAACUUUAAAUCUGGCUUCAUUCCCCCCUCUAAGUUGGGAACUCCUUACUGCUGUAAGGAAGGGGGGCGAAGAAGAUCUUUCUGGCUUCUUCAGGCUGAAAAGGGACGAUGUGGGGCAAGCAGUUUGGAGUCCCCCUUUAAAAUCAAAUCGGGUCUAUCGAGUGGUCCAUGAUAAAAGUCCAAUUGAGAAGUAAUAGGCUGGAGGGCCAUUUGAGUGUGGAUGGUCUAUAAGAGAAACAAGAAUUCAUUAGUACUGGAACCAUAUUGAUGCAGCAAUAAACGCCAUCGCACAGGAAUAUGCCAAUGAGUAUGAUGGCAAAGACAAAGACUAACAAUGUUUUCCACCAGGAAGUACCAAGAACUAGGAGAUAAGAUAUUGUUUCCAUGACAAAGUUGCUGAGGACAUGGCUUCUAUCUGAGCAUGUAAAUCUUUAAGGAUAUUUGUCACAUUGCGAGAAAUGUCAGGGAUGUAAACACAACAUUUAACUUUUAGGGUUACAGAUGUCCUUUUCCUUAAGAUACAGUUUAAUAAUUUAAUGUCAUCUGGUCUUGUAAAAUCCUUUUACUAGUAUGACCUCUAUGUCUAAUAGAGAAAUCUUUAAUUCUGUUACUUAGGGCUGGAUAACCAUACUUGCAAACACUAAGCCUACCUGUGUAGGUUAGAAAUAAAGGCCUUAAACUAAAAACUACUCUGGCAGUUCCUUUUGAUAGUUAUCAGGCAUUCCUGUCUGAGAAUCUCUUUUGUAGCCUCCAGUUUACUUAUUUUUGGAAGUUACAUUUAACUAUUAUUAUUAUUUAAAAUGUCCAGGAACAGCUGUGCUUUGGCUUUGACUGUCUUUGCUAAGUGUUUAAGAUGAAGCAAGUCAAACUGACUUUUGUUUUUAUCUAUUGUUAACAGUCAGCUGAGCUUCCCUGGGAGUCCUCGGGGAACUUCACAGCAGCUUCUCAGUUCUGCUAGUGCCAUUGCGCUAGGAUGGGUCCAGGCCUUGCUUGACCAUGUGGCUUCCCUUGGAAGCAUCAGGGAUGUCUCCCUUUUCUGAUGACCCUCCUCUUCACAGCAAAUGCACUGAUUGGCUUUCUGUCCUCCACUGGUCUCAUUAAUCUCCCUGAUCGGGAGGUUAUGUGGCCUAGAGUUGCAAAGCUCUUUGGAGAAGUCCCCUAUUCCCUGAUUCAGACUGACUUAGAGGGCAAGAGCCAAAUAUUGGUUUUCUUGGCCCUUUUAAUUUAACUUUAAUUUUAAAACUUAAUCUUAAACAUCCAGCAAAUAAGUUAACAGCCUUAUAUUAAAGAGCACUGGGCUUUAAUGUCUAUCUCUCUAUCCAGUAGGUGAUAACUCCUUAUCUUAUGUUGACCCAGGUUGUGUUCUUAAAGCAGUACCUCUUUAAAACAUUAACAGGCAAUCCUUAAACCAUCUAUAAGCAAACUACAGCACAAAACUAACUAGGGUAAAAACAUAUUUAGCUUAUAUAAUAGCUACCUUGAAUUCUGGCAGGGUUAUACAUCAUAAUUCCCUGUUUGAGAUCCUAGUAAUCUUGGCAAAAAACUACUUUUGGACACAACUUUAACUGUACUGAAAUCUGGCCUACUUCUUUCAUAGUCACUUUCACAUGUAGUGAGAUGGGACAGAGCCUUAUCUCAAGUAAGGCAGGGCUCUUCAUAAAUCUUAAGUACUGUAGUUCUGAAACUGAUCUUUGCUUUUUAAACAUCAUUUUACAAAGCCUACAUAAAUUGUUGCUCAAGUUCACAUGAAUAUUAGCUAACACAAUAUAAUAUCACACCUAAAACAUGAAUUAAAGAAAAGCUGAAAGCUUUUAACCUUUUGUAGAAAAGUAGUAAAGUACUUUUGUGUUUUGCAAUAAAACCUUCACACAGAUUAGGCUCUCAUUAACUUAAAAAUACAUUUAAAUUGUAUCUCAGUGUAAAAAGUAACAUAGAACUUUACAUAUCUUAUUGAUAACAAGUCCNCUUCUCAGUUCUGCUAGUGCCAUUGCGCUAGGAUGGGUCCAGGCCUUGCUUGACCAUGUGGCUUCCCUUGGAAGCAUCAGGGAUGUCUCCCUUUUCUGAUGACCCUCCUCUUCACAGCAAAUGCACUGAUUGGCUUUCUGUCCUACACUGGUCUCAUUAAUCUCCCUACUCAGGAGGUUAUGUGGCCUAGAGUUGCAGAGCCCUUUGGAGAAGUCCCCUAUUCCCUGAUUCAGACUGACUUAGAGGGCAAGAGCCAAAUAUUGGUUUUCUUGGCCCUUUUAAUUUAACUUUAAUUUUAAAACUUAAUCUUAAACAUCCAGCAAAUAAGUUAACAGCCUUAUAUUAAAGAGCACUGGGCUUUAAUGUCUAUCUCUCUAUCCAGUAGGUGAUAACUCCUUAUCUUAUGUUGACCCAGGUUGUGUUCUUAAAGCAGUACCUCUUUAAAACAUUAACAGGCAAUCCUUAAACCAUCUAUAAGCAAACUACAGCACAAAACUAACUAGGGUAAAAACAUAUUUAGCUUAUAUAAUAGCUACCUUGAAUUCUGGCAGGGUUAUACAUCAUAAUUCCCUGUUUGAGAUCCUAGUAAUCUUGGCAAAAAACUACUUUUGGACACAACUUUAACUGUACUGAAAUCUGGCCUACUUCUUUCAUAGUCACUUUCACAUGUAGUGAGAUGGGACAGAGCCUUAUCUCAAGUAAGGCAGGGCUCUUCAUAAAUCUUAAGUACUGUAGUUCUGAAACUGAUCUUUGCUUUUUAAACAUCAUU